rnacentral:rRNA from 1 species
UGCGGAAUUUUAGAUAAUGGAGGGAACUCUGAUCUAGCGACGCCGCGUGCAGGAAGAAGGUCUUCGGAUUGUAAACUGCUGUGGUAAGGGAAAAAUGCUAUGUAGAGUGGAAAGCUACAUAGAGGGAUGGUACCUUACUAGGAAGCCCCGGCUAACUACGUGCCAGCAGCCGCGGUAAUACGUAGGGGGCGAGCGUUACCCGGAAUCACUGGGCGUAAAGGGAGCGUAGGUGGCCUAACAUGUCAACUGUGAAAACCCGGAGCUCAACUCCGGACUUGCAGUUGAAACUGGUAGGCUUGAGGACGGUAGAGGAAGACGGAACUGCCAGUGUAGGGGUAAAAUCCUUAGAUAUUGGCAGGAACGCCGGUGACGAAGGUGGUUUUCUGGGUCGGUUCUGACACUGAUGCUCGAAAGCCAGGGGAGCGAACG